CUGUAUACCAGGGAUACUACAUAUAGUUUCGUACUUUCUAACUUUAGUACCUUGUGGUUUAAAAUAUAUCACUUUCCUACCCUGUAGUUUUAUUUUUCUCUUUUUAUUAUCUACUCUACUAAUUUUUUUGUUAAAUCAAUGACAAAGUUAAAACUAAAGGGUAUUAAAGUAAAUAUCCAAUAAACCAUACGUGGGGUAUUUGAAGUUUUUUAUAUAUAAUUUAGCGAAAAGUUAACGGAGGGGUUGACAAAAACAGAAAAAUAAAACCACAGGGUACUAAAUUGAUAUACUUUAAACCAAAUGGUACUAAAGUGAAAAAGUGCGAAACCACAUGGGUGGCAUUUGAAGUUACCGUUUUUCUUUAACUAAGAUACACUUUAAACCAUAUGGUACAAAAGUGAAAAAGUGCGCAACCACUUGUUAAAAUUAAAGGGUAUUAAAGUGAAUAUCCAAUAAACUAUAGGUGGGGUAUUUGAAGUUUUUUAUAUAUAAUUUAACGAAAAGUUAACGAAGAGGUUGACAAAAAAAGAAAAAUAAAAUCACAUGGUACUAAAUUGAUACACUUUAAACUAUAUGGUACUAAACUUAAAAAGUGCGAAAUCACAUGGAUGGAAUUUGAAGUUACCGUUUUUCUUUAACUAAAACCAAAAGAGUUUUUGCGAACCCUAAUAUUAAAAAAAAAAUUAGAUUACAUCUAUAUAUAUAUAUAUAUAGUCCGGCUACUGUACUAUCGAUAGUACCAAGCCCUUGGUACUAUUGAGUUUUCUAUCGUUAGAUCUAUCCGUUGAUCAUUUCCACCCGUUAGAUUAUCUAUUACUCUAUAUGAAU
rnacentral:lncRNA from 1 species